rnacentral:rRNA from 1 species
GAUGAACGCUAGCGGCAGGCUUAACACAUGCAAGUCGAGGGGCAGCAUGAGACGGAGAUUCGUCGAAGUCUUGAUGGCGACCGGCGCAAGGGUGCGUAACGCGUGAGCAACUUGCCCGUUUCAGGGGGAUAACCGGUGGAAACGCCGACUAAUACCCCAUGGUAUGUUUUUAAGGCAUCUUUUAAACAUUAAAGAACUUCGGAAACGGAUAGGCUCGCGUGACAUUAGCUAGAUGGCGGGGUAACGGCCCACCAUGGCGACGAUGUCUAGGGGUUCUGAGAGGAAGGUCCCCCACACUGGAACUGAGACACGGUCCAGACUCCUACGGGAGGCAGCAGUGAGGAAUAUUGGUCAAUGGUCUGACGACUGAACCAGCCAUGCCGCGUGAAGGAUACGGCCCUAUGGGUCUUAAACUUCUUUUUGCGUAGGGAGCAAUAAGGUCUACGUGUAGUCCGAUGAGAGUACCCCGNGAAUAAGCAUCGGCUAACUCCGUGCCAGCAGCC